GCGGGAAUAACUCAGUGGUAGAGUGUCAGCUUCCCAAGCUGAAGGUCGAGGGUUCGAAUCCCUUUUCCCGCUCCA
rnacentral:tRNA from 1 species